GUCUCUUUGGCCGAGUGGUUAAGCCGUGUGCCUGCUAAGAACAUGGGGUCUCUCAGCGAGAGUUCGAAUCUCUCAGACGACG
rfam:Selaginella moellendorffii unplaced genomic scaffold SELMOscaffold_2, whole genome shotgun sequence.